rnacentral:rRNA from 1 species
GAUGAACGCUGGCGGCGUGCCUAAUACAUGCAAGUCGAGCGAACGGGCGAGGAGCUUGCUUCACUGUGGUGAGCGGCGAACGGGUGAGUAACGCGUGGGGAACCUGCCUAUGAGCGGGGGAUAACUUCUGGAAACGGAUGCUAAUACCGCAUAAUAUCUUUAACCAUAUGGUUUAAGAUUGAAAGACGGUCUUGCAUUCCCUAAUGAUUAUACCGCGUUGUUUUAGCUAGUUGGGAAGGUAAAGGCUUACCAAGGCAAAGAUUCAUAACCGACCUGAGAGGGGGAUCGGCCCAACUGGAACUGAGAAACGGUCAAGACUCCUAGGGGAGGAAGCAGUAGGGAAUCUUCCGCAAUGGGGGAAAGCCUGACGAAGCAACGCGGCGUGAGUGAUGAAGGUUUUCGGAUCGUAAAACUCUGUUAUUAGGGAAGAACAUAUGUGUAAGUAAAAGUGCACAACUUGACGGUACCUAAUCAGAAAGCCACGGCUAACUACGUG